rnacentral:rRNA from 1 species
ACCCUGAACAAGGGAGUGAAAUAGAACCUGAAACCGUACGCUUACAAGCGGAGGGAGCCUACGGGUGACCUCGUGCCUUUUGCAUAAUGAUCCUACGAGUUACUCCUCACUAGCGAGGUUAAGCAUUUAAGAUGCGUAGCCGAAGCGAAAGCGAGUCUGAAUAGGGCGUUGAGUAUUUGGUCGUAGACCCGAAACCAGGUGAUCUACCCAUGGUCAGGUUGAAGUUCAGGUAACACUGAAUGGAGGACCGAACCGACUUACGUUGAAAAGUGAGCGGAUGAACUGUGGGUAGCGGAGAAAUUCCAAUCGAACUUGGAGAUAGCUGGUUCUCUCCGAAAUAGCUUUAGGGCUAGCCUCAAGUGAUGAUUAUUGGAGGUAGAGCACUGUUUGGACGAGGGGCCCCUCUCGGGUUACCGAAUUCAGACAAACUCCGAAUGCCAAUUAAUUUAACUUGGGAGUCAGAACACGG